GAUGAAGAACGUAGCGAAAUGCGAUACUUGGUGUGAAUUGCAGAAUCCCGUGAACCAUCGAGUCUUUGAACGCAAGUUGCGCCCGAAGCCAAUAGGCCGAGGGCACGCCUGCCUGGGCGUCACACGUCGUUGCCCCCCCAUCUACUCCUUCGGGAUUGCGGGGGGCGGAUGAUGGCCUCCCGUGCGCCUCGCCGCGCGGUUGGCAUAAAUGCCAAGUCCUCGGCGACGCACGCCACGACAAUCGGUGGUUGCGAAACCUCGGUUGCCCGUCGUGUGCGGUCGUCGCGCAUCGAGGGCUCGAAAAAAUUGCCGGGUUCCGGCUCGGCUUUCAACGCGACCCCAGGUCAGGCGGGGUUACCCGCUGAAUUUAAGCAUAUCAAUAAGCGGAGGA
rnacentral:misc_RNA from 1 species